rnacentral:Y_RNA from 1 species
GGCUGUUCCAAGUGCAGCAGUGUUUACAACUAAUUGAUACAACAAGUUACAAAUUUCUUUGUUGCUUCUUCAUUCCCACUGCUUCACUUGGCUAGCCUUAA